AAGUGUAGCUGGUGAGCAUGUAAAACUUUUUCUCCUCUUUUAUGAACUCUUUAUACCCCAGAUAUUAAACAUAUAACAUUUGGCAACACGUUGUACAGGCAGUAGGUGGCACUCUGCUUCAUUCAAUUAAUUCGGCGUACUUAUGAAGCAUAUAGUGUUCGUCUCAUUCGGCUUGUGCGAGGGUGUGGAAAGAGGGAAAAAAUAUUAUGAUAUUUAUUAAAUUGAUUGCUAAGCAAUGAAGUUAAAAGCAAGGCCUCCUGUCCCGAAUUCGUAUCAUAGUGAAAGGGCGAGUGUAAAUUGAGAAACAUUUCUGCUUCUAUUUCAGUAUUAUAUUUGGCUCUGUAUUGUACGUAUAUAUUCCUAAAUCUAAAGCUGUGGCAUACCACUGUUUAAUGAUUUUUAACAGUAAGACUGUAGGUUACCUGAGUAUAAGUUGAGUUUUAUUCUAAUGUUAUCUUUUAAAACGGUUUUCAUUAUUCUACGCAAUCAAUAAUUAGGCUAUAUCAAUUUACAUCACAGUAUAGAUGGUAUAUACGUGAGUUAUGCUUUAAUUAAAGUGUAAUAAAGUGUACAGUGUUCGUCGCAAGUACCAGGACAAAGAAGCCCUCCUUUGAGCAAUUUAUCUGCAUUUAUUUGGGUAUUGGACUGCUAAUCCUGAAACAACUGUUGAUGAGUUACAAAUGACGUAUAGAGUGGGAAGGGCGUUGAAAGUAGACUAUAAAAAUGUUCAUCUCAAAGCAAUUCGUUACAGGCAUUGGCUUGCAGAAUCGGACUAUUGCAUUUUCACCAAGAAACGCCACGCUUAAGCAAGUCCUAAAGGAAGGUUUGCUUUAAACUCGUGUGUACUAAAAAAUUGAGUCCUGUAUAACAAUCCUGCUCAAAAAUUAUAACCAUGAAAAUGUCCGCAGCUGAGGUUUCCAAGGUUCUAAAAGAAGGACUACUGGAAAAAAGAAGCGACAACCUCUUUCAGCUCUGGAGAAGGAAGAUGUGCGUCCUCACCACCGACAGCCUCAGUAUGUACGAUGACAAUCAGAAAAGGUCCAAGAGCAAAGAGCUAAAACUGCAAUCAAUCAAAAAACUGGACUGCGUAGAAAGGACAGGAAAAUUUGUCUACUUCACCAUCGUCACCACGGAUAAUAAAGAAAUAGAUUUUAGGUGCUCAGGUGACGAUAGCUGUUGGAAUGCUGUCAUCACAAUGGCCUUGAUUGACUUCCAGAACAGAAGAGCCAUUCAGGACUUCAAAACGCAACAGGGGACACAGAUCAUUUCGCCUGUGAAGCCGGAGGAGCAGCUGGCAAAGGCUCUUUAGGAGAAAUCCAGCCCAGAGCUGGGAAAUUGCAGGAAACGUACGUUUUCUUUAGAAUAUUGAAAUACGAAUUGGUAACUUCCAUCUGGACCAAGUGAAGACGACUACACAUCUGAGGCAUUGCAGAAGUCCACGUAGAACAGCAGGAACCUGGCGCUUCUGAUGAGAAGCGAAUGAUCACAUGAAAGACUGAAUGCUAUAGUGUUGCGCCUUAGGGUUUGAAUGCGCUUUCUAUUGAAAACGUUUAUUGCCGGUUAUAGGCCUUAUAUUUAUUUACUGAAACAAAGUUGCUUAACUUAUUGUAUUUCACUGAGUAUUUAUUUAAAUAAACACUAGCGUACAGAUCGCAACAACCAGAAAAUGUGUGCGAAUUCCCUGUGUUUCCACAGGAACAUCUUCUGUUUUAAUCUUACCGUACAUUUUGUUUAUGUUUACAGCAAAAUUAGUUCUGGUUAGCUUAUUGUACUCAGCAAAUAAGGUACUUAACAAUGGCAUUGACAUUUAACUAGCUAUUCCAAAAUGUAAGUCUAGUUAUGGAAUACUUUUGUCUUAUUCUAAUUAGAAUGUCAAUGACUUAUUAAAGUUCAUUAUUUCAACAUAUUCACUAUAUAACUUUCAA